CACAUCAGCAGAGCUAUUCAUUCGUUUCUCCACCGCCGCCAUCAUCGAAUGGUAAAAGCCCGCGUGUGUCAGUUUAUUUAAUAAAAAGUGCAGCAAAAGUUGUUGGAGCCCGUUUUCCUACCACCAGCAAGCGGAGUAGGUUAUCGGAACCAAUCGGGAAGAGCCAGAAUCGACCGAUUGCGGCUGGGAAGCACCCAACAUCCGCAGCAAGCCGAUACGAUACAGGACCCAAUAACGGGCCAGAGAAGCGCAGCCGGUUUUCAAUCCAACCCGUCUGUCGAAGGCCACCCACGCAACACGCACGGUGUCAGUAGGUCCCAAAGCUAAGGCACACGAGAGGCACACGAUCGACAUAACCUCAAACCGUGCACGUGCUGAUUGGCCCUUGUACGGCUAGAAGGUCACGAGGCACGCAACCAAUCCCGGAAGUAGGCGUGGGACGACGAGCUUCUUCCAAAGGACGAGUGACGCAAUAGCCACCGGCGAAUCAUCCAAGCUACUGAGACUAGCGAGACACGAGCCAACAAAAGCCCCGAACGGGUAAGAAUGCAUUGGCUUCGAGCGACCGAUCAAAAGGAUGACACCUGUGCGGCCUUAGGGUUUUGUUUUUUGGUCUCAUUGACAGGUAAUCAGCAUCAACGAUCUUUGGAACGAGAUUGGCCAUUAGCCGGCUGACU
rnacentral:lncRNA from 11 species